ensembl:lncRNA
AUAAAAUAGUAUUUGAAUAUGUUUUAUAAAUAAUGCUAUAAUAAAUAUCUAAAACUGUGACAUGCAUUGCAUCUACCUGAUUAUCAUAAUAACUCUGUAAUGUAGGUCUUACUCUUUUAUAGGUUAAGAAAUUGAAUUUUAAAGAUGUAAGAUGAAUAAUUAAUUCUCAGAAAGUUUUGGUGAGAUGGGAUUUGGGAUUUAUACCAUUAAAGCAAGCAAUAUGUUUAUAUUGUAGGAAAACUGAUUUCAAACCAUCAAGCAUAAUUUGGGUCACACUGUCAUAGCACCGUAAACAUGCACAAAUUUACAGAAGUACAGAACUGGAAUCUAGGGAACUGCAGAGUGAACUGACCAGAAGAGAGUUACUAACUGGAGGAGGCAGGGUUGGCCUUGAAUGCACUGUGUAGCCCAGGCUGGUCUUGAAAACACAUUGAUCUUCCUGUCUCAGCCUUCCGAAUACUGCAAUUACAGGUGUGCACCACCAAGCCCCUCUAGUUGUCCAAUUUUAAAUUAAUAUAUUUUGAAGGAUUUGGUACAAUGUACUUGAAAUGAAUUUGAAUAGAAUUUUCCAGUUCUUGAGUUUAUUUUUUGUUGUAAUCGGGCAGUGGGUUAGUAUUUGUC